rnacentral:siRNA from 1 species
CUGAUGGAGUCUCGAUUUGUAGG